rnacentral:lncRNA from 1 species
CUAUGCACUGAGUCGAUCGAGUCUAGGGCAUCCAGGCUGAUUUUUAAGAUUUUCUAUGUGAUUCUCACAUCCUAGAACCGAAUUUAACAUGCACAAAAGGUGAAAAAAACUAAUUGGAAUAUGAAAGGAAUAAAAUAAAAAUAAAAUAAAAACAACAACUAACUUCAGAUUGAGCUUGAAACCUAAAAGUUAUACAAACCCUAAAAAGAACUGAAAAACGAUAGUGAACAAGAAUGGCAGAUCAUCCAUAUA